rnacentral:rRNA from 1 species
UGGGGAAUAUUGGACAAUGGGCGAAAGCCUGAUCCAGCAAUGCCGCGUGAGUGAUGAAGGCCUUCGGGUCGUAAAGCUCUUUUACCAGGGAUGAUAAUGACAGUACCUGGAGAAUAAGCUCCGGCUAACUCCGUGCCAGCAGCCGCGGUAAUACGGAGGGAGCUAGCGUUGUUCGGAAUUACUGGGCGUAAAGAGUACGUAGGCGGUUAUUCAAGUCAGAGGUGAAAGCCCGGGGCUCAACCCCGGAACUGCCUUUGAAACUAGAUAGCUAGAGUCUUGGAGAGGUUAGUGGAAUUCCGAGUGUAGAGGUGAAAUUCGUAGAUAUUCGGAAGAACACCAGUGGCGAAGGCGACUAACUGGACAAGUACUGACGCUGAGGUACGAAAGCGUGGGGAGCAAACAGG